UACGGAGGGUGCGAGCGUUGUCCGGAAUCACUGGGCGUAAAGGGCGCGUAGGCGGCGCGGGAAGUCAACGGUGAAAGCUUGGGGCUCAACUCCGAGUCGGCCGUCGAUACUCCCGUGCUCGAGCACUGUAGAGGCAGAUGGAAUUCCGGGUGUAGCGGUGGAAUGCGUAGAGAUCCGGAAGAACACCGGUGGCGAAGGCGGUCUGCUGGGCAGUUGCUGACGCUGAGACGCGAAAGCGUGGGGAGCAAACAGG
rnacentral:rRNA from 1 species